UUUUAUUUGUAUUAAUUAUUAAAUUGUGUUCCUGUAACCAGUCUGUGAUAUUUGUGUAAGUUUCCUUAAUGUAGGAGUAGUCAUUGGAGUCGUUGUCAUGUCUAAACAGGAGGGUCAUGUCGUCAGCAAAUAUGAUACAUUUGUGGUUGGUUAUCUGGAACACCUACUGACAUGACAUAAUUUUUUUUUUAAUUUCGCUACCUAAAGGUUGUCUGGAAGAGAUCGCUUUUUAGCGAUAAGACCGCCUGUUGUUUACCUCUUCUUUAUGUGUUGUAUUAUUUGUACUGUUUCUGUAUUGAGGUGUGCAAUAAAGAGUAUUUGUAUUGUAUUGUAUUGUAUUGUAUAGAAAAAUGAUAGAGACACAAAGUGUUUCGUUGUCGACGUGAUAGCGAUUGUCACCUUGGCUUAGGCUGGCUGAUGACCAGACUUUGGCGAAAAAUUGUUCCCGUCUGAACUGGCCUUUCGUCUUUGUAUACUUUUUCCCUACUUAAGCGCCAAUUACAUCCACACUUCUCGAUUUCGGGCCCGAAAUCAGUCCCAUUUUCGGGUCUGAUAAUCGUUUUCGUUUCACGGAAUAUCAGCACAUCGUUAACAAUGUUUGAAAUGUAAAAAAAUACUUUGUCUCUCAUUGCCGAAAAUGUUAAAUAUUUGUUGCAUAUGAACCAUUUCAAAUAUUGUAGGUAAACGAUGUGCUGAUUCGUGAAAUUGUGAAACGGAAAAAUAUUCUUUUUCGGGCCCGAAAUCGGGUCUGAUAUCAGGCCUGAUAAAGUGUGGAUGUAAUUGGCACUUCAUACUGGACUAACACUAUACUAUAAUAGUUGUAACAAUCAUAAGAAAACUCAUUCAAUUAUAUUCACCCUAUUCCAAAUUCUAACUAAUUUUCCAUUGGCUGCUACGGUUGUUUUCGUAGUAUAAGGGCAAUUCAUUUUUGAUGUCGAAAACAUAUCUAAAUAAUGUCAUUUUGUUAUCAUUAAUCCAUGUGUCUCGCUCGCACUAAUAUAUGCACUACGAAGUACGAGCGAAAUGCACGCGCGAAUGAUAACAAUAUAACUUCAAUUAGAUAUUAAUAUGACAUCAAAAUGUACAUUUGAAUUGACUUCUAUAGCAGAUGGCAGACUAUAUAAACGGAUUACUCAACAUCAUAAUAUCAUUACGCGGACUACUGUACAACUUAACGCUUCUUAAAGUGUAAACAGAUUUAAAUAAUACGUCAACCAUUAAUAUGAUGUCGUUCAAAGUAAUGUUCCUGGUUGUGCUGGUUGCGGUAACCAUGGUUGCUCACACUGAGGCAACCAAUACAUGGACGAGGGUGUGGGCUUGUGACGAGGUGUGCAGUAGAAGUGACGCCGAGAAAGCUGAAUGUUGCCGCGCGCACGGACAUGUCACUUACGCAUCCUGUGAAGGCGGGAUGUAUUGCUACUGACGCUGCUACACCCACUAUCCCACACCCACUAUGCCACACCCAUUAUCCUACACCCAUUAUCCUACACCCACUAUCCCACACCCACUAUGCCACACCCAUUAUCCCACACCCAUUAUCCUACACCCACUAUGCCACGUCCACUAUCCUACAUCCACUGUUAGCGCUUAUUUGCGCUAUUUAAAUAAAACAAAAUAAAUCAAAAA